GCUAGCUCUUAUGAUUUAGAGACUAAGUUGGGUUACAUCAAUGUCAACCCAUAUUUUAUUAAAAAUAAAUCAUGCAUACUAAUUGUCUAUAGUAUUCUUUUAAAAUAAGUCACUCUUGAUUUAAAAAGAAAGAUGUGACUUAAUUUAUCACAUAACCUUCUUAUUUUUGGAAAGAAAAAAAAAAAGACAUAAUAUCUCAUUACUUGUGAAAAAAACAUACAGCAAAACUGUAAUGAAAAAAACAUACACAACUAAUCAACAUAUCCUCGUGAAGAACACUGGUUUUACUGAGGGUUUUUAUUACAAACAUGACCUCAAACCCAACAAAAAACGAGGUAUGGAUACAAUAAGGUUGGACUAGAAAAUCAACGAUGGACCUAUUAUUAUGUGUAUGGUUUGGUCCAGCUGGAGAAAGCCUAUCUUCACCUGUAGGUAAGGCUUUUUCUUCAAGAGCACUUCGAGAACUACGUCUUUGCUUAUUCUAUCAGACAUUAACUCAUGCAACAGACGUUGGCUAUCUAUAUGAUGUCUUCCACCACCUUCAAGUCUCUAGCAUCAAGAUUUGUCACAAAAGUGAAGAAUAUCAUCAGAUUAUUAGACCAAGUUUGGAAUAUCGUAUAUUACUUGUAUUCUCCAUGCAAGGAACAAAGAAGCUUUGGCCAGCUUUUGAGUUUGAAAUAGAGAGUAGGGACUUCAAUUUGAGACGGUUUUAUUUAGAACUAAGCUGACUAGAUACAAGUAUAUAUUAUUGUUAGAUUCAUCUCAUUCCAUCUCAUUGGAUUAGAGAGUACUACCAUUUGUACUCUUUCAAUUUAUUGGUUAUGAAAAAAUAAACACUAGGAUUACAUGAUAAUAAAAUUUAAAUACAUCUUUGACUUUUA
rnacentral:lncRNA from 1 species